rnacentral:rRNA from 1 species
AAAUGGUGGGUAGUACAAUAUAAUCCCUGCGGGGGAAAGAUUUAUCGCUAUUAGAUGAGCCUAUGUUAGAUUAGCUAGUUGGUAGGGUAAAGGCCUACCAAGGCGAUGAUCUAUAGCUGGUCUGAGAGGAUGAUCAGCCACACUGGAACUGAGAUACGGUCCAGACUCCUACGGGAGGCAGCAGUGGGGAAUAUUGGACAAUGGGCGCAAGCCUGAUCCAGCUAUGCCGCGUGAGUGAGGAAGGCCUUAGGGUUGUAAAACUCUUUCAGUAGGGAAGAUAAUGACGGUACCUACAGAAGAAGUCCCGGCAAACUCCGUGCCAGCAGCCGCGGUAAUACGGAGGGGGCAAGCGUUGUUCGGAAUUAUUGGGCGUAAAGGGCAUGUAGGCGGUUCGG